AGCAGCCGCGGUAAUUCCAGCUCCAAUAGCGUAUAUUAAAGUUGUUGCAGUUAAAAAGCUCGUAGUUGAAUUUCGGGGUCAGUAGGUUGGUCGUGCCACCGGUACGUACUGGUCUCACUGAUUCCUCCUUCCUGAUGAGCUGUAAUGCCAUUAAUUUGGUGUUGCAGGGAAUCUGGACUGUUACUUUGAAAAAAUUAGAGUGUUUAAAGCAGGCUAACGCUUGAAUACAUUAGCAUGGAAUAAUGAAAUAGGACGUUCGAUCCUAUUUUGUUGGUUUCUAGGAUUGACGUAAUGAUUAAUAGGGAUAGUUGGGGGCAUUAGUAUUCAAUUGUCAGAGGUGAAAUUCUUGGAUUUAUUGAAGACUAACUACUGCGAAAGCAUUUGCCAAGGAUGUUUUCAUUAAUCAAGAACGAAAGUUAGGGGAUCGAAGACGAUCAGAUACCGUCGUAGUCUUAACCAUAAACUAUGCCGACUAGGGAUCGGAUGAUGU
rnacentral:rRNA from 1 species